rnacentral:rRNA from 1 species
AUUGAACGCUGGCGGCAUGCUUUACACAUGCAAGUCGAACGGUAACAGGCCGCAAGGUGCUGACGAGUGGCGAACGGGUGAGUAAUGCAUCGGAACGUGCCCAGUCGUGGGGGAUAACGCAGCGAAAGCUGCGCUAAUACCGCAUACGAUCUAUGGAUGAAAGCGGGGGACCGAAAGGCCUCGCGCGAUUGGAGCGGCCGAUGUCAGAUUAGGUAGUUGGUGGGGUGAAGGCUCACCAAGCCAACGAUCUGUAGCUGGUCUGAGAGGACGACCAGCCACACUGGGACUGGGACACGGCCCGGACGCCUACGGGAGGCAGCAGUGGGGAAUUUUGGACAAUGGGCGCAAGCCUGAUCCAGCAAUGCCGCGUGCAGGAAGAAGGCCUUCGGGUUGUAAACUGCUUUUGUACGGAACGAAACGGUCCGGGUUAAUACCCUGGGCUAAUGACGGUACCGUAAGAAUAAGCACCGGCUAACUACGUGCCAGCAGCCGCAGUAACAC